rnacentral:tRNA from 1 species
AUUAGAGUGGCAGAGCCCGGUAAUUGCAAAAGACCUAAAACCUUUAACCCGAGAGUCCAAAUCCCUCCCCUAAUA